rnacentral:rRNA from 1 species
AUUGAACGCUGGCGGCAUGCCUUACACAUGCAAGUCGAACGGCAGCACGGGAGCAAUCCUGGUGGCGAGUGGCGAACGGGUGAGUAAUAUAUCGGAACGUGCCCAGUCUGGGGGAUAACGUAGCGAAAGCUACGCUAAUACCGCAUACGAUCUAUGGAUGAAAGCGGGGGAUCGCAAGACCUCGCGCGAUUGGAGCGGCCGAUAUCAGAUUAGGUAGUUGGUGAGGUAAAGGCUCACCAAGCCGACGAUCUGUAGCUGGUCUGAGAGGACGACCAGCCACACUGGGACUGAGACACGGCCCAGACUCCUACGGGAGGCAGCAGUGGGGAAUUUUGGACAAUGGCGCAAGCCUGAUCCAGCAAUGCCGCGUGCAGGAUGAAGG